rnacentral:rRNA from 1 species
CCUACGGGGGGCAGCAGUGAGGAAUAUUGGUCAAUGGGCGCGAGCCUGAACCAGCCAAGUAGCGUGAAGGAUGACUGCCCUACGGGUUGUAAACUUCUUUUAUAAAGGAAUAAAGUGAGGCACGUGUGCCUUUUUGUAUGUACUUUAUGAAUAAGGAUCGGCUAACUCCGUGCCAGCAGCCGCGGUAAUACGGAGGAUCCGAGCGUUAUCCGGAUUUAUUGGGUUUAAAGGGAGCGUAGGCCGGCUUUUAAGUCAGCUGUGAAAGUCCGCGGCUCAACCGUGGACUUGCAGUUGAACCUGGAGGC